rfam:Vibrio shilonii AK1 1103207002042, whole genome shotgun sequence.
CAUUGAAUGGACGCAAUAGUAACUAGGAUGGUUACUACUAAGGAAAGACAAUGGACACCUCUGGAUGAGGCAAGGACUUAACAUCAGGAAGAUGUCAGGGACACCGCUCAGGGAUCAAGUGAAGUGCGCUAACGAGGAUUGUUAGCAGGUCAGGAUAAGACCAAUGGACACCGCUAGGAAGGCGACGAAAGGAAUACGCUGAAGGAAUACAGCACACUAUCAAGGAUUAGAUGCAUGGAGCACCUAUAGUAGCCGGAUUGCUGCGAGUAAGACCAUAACCCCGCAGGGCGUAAGCCCUCGGGGUUUUUCUUUA